UACGAAGGGGGCUAGCGUUGUUCGGAAUUACUGGGCGUAAAGCGUGCGCAGGCGGCUUCUCAAGUCAGGGGUGAAAGCCCAGAGCUUAACUCUGGAAUUGCCUUUGAGACUGAGAGGCUUGAGUACGGGAGAGGUGAGUGGAAUUCCCAGUGUAGAGGUGAAAUUCGUAGAUAUUGGAAAGACACCGGUGGCGAAGGCGACUCUGCCUAG
rnacentral:rRNA from 1 species